rnacentral:rRNA from 1 species
UACGUAGGGGGCAAGCGUUGUCCGGAAUCAUUGGGCGUAAAGAGCGUGUAGGCGGCCUGGUAAGUCCGCUGUGAAAGUCCAGGGCUCAACCCUGGAAUGCCGGUGGAAACUGUCAGGCUCGAGUCCGGAAGAGGCGAGUGGAAUUCCUGGUGUAGCGGUGAAAUGCGCAGAUAUCAGGAGGAACACCUGUGGCGAAAGCGGCGCACUGGACCACAACUGACGCUGAGGCGCGAAAGCUAGGGGAGCAAACAGG